GAUGAAUUAUAUCAUAAUUUGUUUAUCCAUUCUCCUGUUGAUGUCACAUUUCUUUUGUAUUUCCUCCAGUGCCUAGGGCAGUAUGUUAGGUUUAGGUUCAUCUUUUUUUUUUUUUUGGAGAUGGAGUCACUGCUUUAAAACAACUUCAUGGACAAUUUCAAAGACAUACAUCAGGAAAGAGAAGGGUGUGGCGGGCGCGGUGGCUCACGUCUGUAAUCCCAGCACUUUGGGAGGCCGAGGCGGGUGGAUCACGAGAUCGGGAGUUCAAGACCAGCCUGAUCAACAUGGUGAAACCCCGUCUCUACUAAAAAUACAAAAAUUAGCAGGGCGGAAGAUAUUCAGGAAAUAAGUGGAGAGGGCUUGGUGACACUGAUAUCUGAGCGGGAAGAUAGAGAGAAAGAGGCCCAAGUUUCUGGCUUUAGAGACCAGGUGGUUGUCAGUUAGAGAUUAUUUCUAAGCCACUCUCAGUUCUUGUUCUUUUUUCUUUUUCUUUUUCUUUUUUUUUUUUUUUUUGAGAUGGAGUCCCGCUCUGUUGCCCAGGCUGGAGUGCAAUGGCCUGAUCUCGGUUCACUGCAACCUCCGCUUCCCAGGUUCAAGCUAUUCUCCUGCCUCAGCCUCACAAGUGGCUGGGGUUACAGGCGCCCGCCACCAGGCCCAGCUAAUUUUUUUGUAUUUUUAGUAGAGACAGGGUUUCGCCAUGUUAGGCUGGUCUCGAACUCCCGACCUCGGGUGAUCUGCCCGCCUUGGCCUCCCAAAGUGCUGGUAUUACAGGCGUGAGCCCACCGCGCCCGACCUCAGUUCUUUUUCUAAUUAGAAAAUUCACUGAUUGUCUAACAAAACUCGAUGCUAUUCUAAUUCAGUUGACUAAGAUACAUACUUGCUCAGAAGUUACUUUUUUCAAGAUUACAUGGACAGUGAUUUGCAGAACUGAUAUCAGAGCCCAGGGUUUCUUACUGCAAGCUUCUCUGUUGGUCAUGAGGUCCCAACUAUCAGUCCCACAUAGUUCUGUUUCCUUCCAUGCCUACCUUAGCUGGGCUGACAGAGUGAGACUGUCUCAAAAAAAAAAAAAGAACACAUCAUAGAACUUGGGAUAGAGUCAGGAUGAGGCUUGAAGGGAAGGAAUAUUGUAAAAGAAAGAAGAAAACCAAAAAAAAACAAGAAUGCAUUUCUUUUGAAUAGUUUAAAAUUACUAAGCCCUCAAAAUAGCCAGGGCCACUAAAAGAGACUGGUAAUGGCCAGAGGGAUACAACCCUGAUCCCACUAAGCCAGUGGGAGUUCAGGGAAGGAGAGCAGCCGCCUACUGCAGGACUAGAUCGCACCGCGGGAAGCGAGCGCUUCGGGGCACCGCACCUCGCUCCUCAUUAGAUGGCGGCUUUUGCCCUGACAGCCAAUGGGGAACGGGGGUCGGGUCGGGAACGCCAAGUAUCCUGGCAACAGGGUCUCCCGAGGCAGCCAGCAAACCAAUCAUAAGGAUUUUGCGCGCCGCUGGGGUCCAUUGU
rnacentral:lncRNA from 1 species